UGUAUGCCCUUUAAUUUUCUUAUUCACUACCGAUGUGGGGCUUGUUCCCACAAGUGAUACUCCAAUAAUAUUAAAAUAAAAUACAAAACAGUGUCACUCAUGAUUCAAUCUGUUAAACACAUUGUAAAUUCCAAAAGGUUUUAGAAUGAAGUGGUGACGAGGUGGGCUGGUCCCUCUGACUUUUGACAGGGAACUCGUUAACUGAAACUUCCUUAACCAGAUUAAAGCUCAUUUCUAAAUAAUCAGAACAUGCACUACGAUAUGAUGUGCAGGUGGCCAACGUGGGAUAAACAUGUGCAUUCAUCAGUAGGAUGUAUAUAAACUGUGAAACACCAGUCCUAUACCAAACAGAUAAUCCAGAUUACCCAUACCAACGAGGCUUUAGAUAACUGCCCAUGUACUUGUGUAUGCCACCCAAUAAUCCCAAUACAGGUUAUCACAUUUUCUCCUUCUAUUUUCUUUUUGGCUAAG
rnacentral:misc_RNA from 1 species